rnacentral:rRNA from 1 species
GAGUGGCGGACGGGUGAGUAAUGCUUGGGAACUUGCCUUUGCGAGGGGGAUAACAGUUGGAAACGACUGCUAAUACCGCAUAAUGUCUUCGGACCAAACGGGGCUUCGGCUCCGGCGCAUAGAGAGGCCCAAGUGAGAUUAGCUAGUUGGUAAGGUAACGGCUUACCAAGGCGACGAUCUCUAGCUGUUCUGAGAGGAAGAUCAGCCACACUGGGACUGAGACACGGCCCAGACUCCUACGGGAGGCAGCAGUGGGGAAUAUUGCACAAUGGGGGAAACCCUGAUGCAGCCAUGCCGCGUGUGUGAAGAAGGCCUUCGGGUUGUAAAGCACUUUCAGUUGUGAGGAAAAGUUAGUAGUUAAUACCUGCUAGCCGUGACGUUAACAACAGAAGAAGCACCGGCUAACUCCGUGCCAGCAGCCGCGGUAAUACGGAGGGUGCGAGCGUUAAUCGGAAUUACUGGGCGUAAAGCGCACGCAGGCGGUUUGUUAAGCUAGAUGUGAAAGCCCCGGGCUCAACCUGGGAUGGUCAUUUAGAACUGGCAGACUAGAGUCUUGGAGAGGGGAGUGGAAUUCCAGGUGUAGCGGUGAAAUGCGUAGAUAUCUGGAGGAACAUCAGUGGCGAAGGCGACUCCCUGGCCAAAGACUGACGCUCAUGU